UACGCAGGGUGCAAGCGUUGUCCGGAAUUAUUGGGCGUAAAGAGCUCGUAGGCGGUCUGUCGCGUCUGGUGUGAAAACUCAGGGCUUAACCCUGAGCUUGCAUCGGGUACGGGCAGACUAGAGUGCGGUAGGGGAGACUGGAAUUCCUGGUGUAGCGGUGAAAUGCGUAGAUAUCGGGAGGAACACCAGAGGCGAAGGCGGCGAACUGGACAGUAACUGACACUCAACUGCGAAAGCGUGGGGAGCAAACAGG
rnacentral:rRNA from 1 species